ACGCUCUGGUUUUUCUUCGGAUCCUGUAAACCUUUGACCUUUUACUAAUGAUUUCCGUGGAGAGGAACAACUUGCGUCUUAAACCUGUUUUGGGAGUUCCCGUCGUGGCGAAGC
ensembl:snRNA U5 U5 spliceosomal RNA